AGCGAAGCGCAGGCUGAAGACAGUUUGGCUCAUCGGCCUGCCCCUCACCUCUGUGCACGCCAGGGGCCGACACCUGCUAGAACUCAGCUCUGCACGCCCAGCUCUCCAUUGCCUGGCAGCCAGGAGCAAAGGGGAAUUACAGGCAGGCUGGACUUGAAACACAGCUAUGGCCCCACCUGCAUUUCAGGUGCCCCGGGGAGUCCUUUCAACCACCUGGAAUUGAGGCUGUUUCAAGGAGGAGUUCCGCUAAUCCUGAGGAGAAUUCCAAGAUCCAAAGUUGAAAGCACAUCAAGAGUAAAAGUCAAGGGUGUUGAAAUCACAUCCUAACAUGAGUCACAUAGAAAUCUGAGUGCAAAGUGUCAUGACCAUCAGUAGACCUGACUUACCUGAACUCAAGCCAAAAAGUGUCAAGCGCCAUCUCGUUACUCCAGGCAGCCAGGUCUGUGUGUGAUUCCUACACCUCUGCCUCGGGGCUCUGGGAGCUCCUGAAAUUUCUCAUGUCAACACUGCUGGGCUGGAUGCUGGCCUUGCUUGUUAAACCAAGAGUUGCUUGAAGCUUUUAGCUUUUUUUAGAUGAUAAAAAUAUACAGUAUGGGAGUUCCUGUCGUGGUGCAGCAGAAACGAACCCGACUAGGAGCCAUGAGGUUACGGAUUUGAUCCCUGGCUGUGCUCAGUGGGUUAAGGAUCCGGUGUUGAUGUGAGCUGUGGUGUAGGUCGCAGAUGCGGCUCGGAUUCCGCGUUGCUGUGGCUCUGGCAUAGGCUGGAGGCUACUGCUCCAAUUAGACCCCUAGCCUGGGAACUUCCAUAUGGCGUGGGUGCGGCCCUAAAAGGACAAAAAAAAAAAAAAAGGAGUAUGAAAAUGACUAGAUUCAUUACCGGCAUAAAUCUAUGUAACCUGAAGUGGUGAAUUCUUAAAAGUAGAUGCUUAGACUCAGGCAGAGAGAUACUAUGGACUUGAUUUUAUGAAUCUAGGAAUCCUUUUUCCAGAAAAUGACUGAAAUUUUAAGAAAAGAGUGGUAGGGGUAUCAGAUUCACACACAGGCAAUGGGGGUCAGGUAUACCAAUUUUAGAAGGCUUUUGGAGGACUUUUUUACCUUCAGAUGAAUGGGAAUGCAAAGUAUUAUGCAAAUCAGAUUUAAACUUCUGAGUUAUUUGCCUCAAUAAAAAGUUAAAGGCAGGAAAGGAAGACUACCUC
rnacentral:lncRNA from 1 species